AGAGUUUGAUCCUGGCUCAGAUUGAACGCUGGCGGCAUGCCUAACACAUGCAAGUCGAACGGAAACGAUGGGAGCUUGCUCCCAGGCGUCGAGUGGCGGACGGGUGAGUAAUACUUAGGAAUCUGCCCAUUAGUGGGGGACAACUCGAGGAAACUCGAGCUAAUACCGCAUACGCCCUACGGGGGAAAGCGGGGGAUCUUCGGACCUCGCGCUAAUGGAUGAGCCUAAGUCGGAUUAGCUAGUUGGUGAGGUAAAGGCUCACCAAGGCAACGAUCCGUAGCUGGUCUGAGAGGACGAUCAGCCACACCGGGACUGAGACACGGCCCAGACUCCUACGGGAGGCAGCAGUGGGGAAUAUUGGACAAUGGGCGCAAGCCUGAUCCAGCAAUGCCGCGUGUGUGAAGAAGGCCUGCGGGUUGUAAAGCACUUUCAGUAGAGAAGAAAAGCUUAGGGUUAAUAACCCUGAGUCUUGACGUAACCUACAGAAGAAGCUCCGGCUAACUCCGUGCCAGCAGCCGCGGUAAUACGGAGGGAGCGAGCGUUAAUCGGAAUUACUGGGCGUAAAGCGCGCGUAGGCGGCUUUGUAAGUCGGAUGUGAAAGCCCUGGGCUCAACCUGGGAAUGGCAUUCGAUACUGCAGAGCUAGAGUAUGGUAGAGGGAAGUGGAAUUUCCGGUGUAGCGGUGAAAUGCGUAGAUAUC
rnacentral:rRNA from 1 species